rnacentral:rRNA from 1 species
CCUACGGGCGGCAGCAGUGAGGAAUAUUGGUCAAUGGACGAGAGUCUGAACCAGCCAAGUAGCGUGAAGGAUGACUGCCCUCUGGGUUGUAAACUUCUUUUAUAUGGGAAUAAAAUGUUCCACGUGUGGGAUUUUGUAUGUACCAUAUGAAUAAGGAUCGGCUAACUCCGUGCCAGCAGCCGCGGUAAUACGGAGGAUCCGAGCGUUAUCCGGAUUUAUUGGGUUUAAAGGGAGCGUAGGUGGAUUGUUAAGUCAGUUGUGAAAGUUUGCGGCUCAACCGUAAAAUUGCAGUUGAAACUGGCAGUCUUGAGUACAGUAGAGGUGGGCGGAAUUCGUGGUGUAGCGGUGAAAUGCUUAGAUAUCACGAAGAACUCCGAUUGCGAAGGCAGCUUACUGGACUGCAACUGACACUGAGGCUCGAAAGUGUGGGUAUCAAACAGGAUUAGAUACCCGUGUAGUC